AAUCUUUAAAAAAAAAAAAAUCUAGUAAGCGUUAGCGACCGAACUACUGGCUAAACGUAUCCCAAAACUCGUACACACAACGCCACAAAUGAGGUUACGACAAUGCAUCAUAACGGUUUCGGCUCCCAGAGGAAAUCCAAGAUGGCCACCAAUAAGGCUACAGGCCCGUAGCCAUGCAGCAUUUCGAGCGGAAGGGUUCGACUAGGUAUUUGCAGGAGCCUUAAAUUGGAUAUGAAGUUGUCUGAAGGCGUGGAGCACCCGAGUUCCAGGGGCAUGCUCAUCGAAAAUGUGAAAUCUCUGAAAGGCAAAAACGUGUUUUCCUGGUAUCUGGAACUUAAAAAUGGAUAUUUUAAAGCAAUGAUUUUCGACUAUGUUGUAGAUUGUAGUUUUGUUAUUACGGUUAUAUAUUUGUUUUGUCUUUAAGAUAAUGAAAUUCUAGCACACAAGAUGAGUUAAAUGUAUUGACAAUUGCUUAUUAUAAAGUGUGUAACAAAAAUGUAGGCCUACGUCCAUGAAUGUAGGCCUCCGAGAUAGGGGGCGGGGUGGAGCAAAACCUCAAAUUCGGGAAAACAUUAUGGAGAUAUUCGGGCAAAAGUGUAACCUGAGACCUUGUUACCAUUUAUUUCCAUCAUUGCACCUGCAAAUUUAGUUGUAAUCCAUAUACAAAUGCGUAAUGAUUCGUUUGCAACCCUAUAUAGCUGCUUGGUAGUAAUUGUAAUAUGAAUAAAUGUUGUUAUCAAUAGAUGCCUCAGAACUACAUGCAUGAUCAUUUCCUUUAAUAAUGAACAUAUUUAUAAAAACAUUACUUUCUUAAAAAAUUAUCAUCAUGAAUCACCGCCAACAUAGGCAGCCCCUGUUAAGAGUACAGGUGUAGCCUAGUAAUCCUCAAACGUUUUCAGCAAAAGGUACUGCAUAAGGUAUUGUAUCCCAUUUCAUGUUUGUCACUGAUACGUCAUAUCAUCAAAAUGGCAUCUACAUGUUGGCCGGCAAACGUUUUGAAAUACAUAGAAAUAACCUACAUCAUAAAGCAACUUCUAAGCCAAAAUGACGUAAGAAUAUUGCUUGAUAUAUGUGGAAGCCAAUGUCGAUUUGAAUCUCUAUAUAGCCUAAAGAUCAAGACAUGAACAGGAUUAUUUUCUGUUGCUAACCUUUUUUUCCCCUUCUAACUUUGGUUGAUAAAUCAAUGGAAGGUGAACUGCUGACAUUAUCAUGUAAUAUCGAAGUCUACGUGGCCAUCAAUAUAGCAAAAAUACAAUUAAAUAAUUUUGCUACA